rnacentral:rRNA from 1 species
GUCCACGCUGUAAACGAUGAUAACUAGACGUUUGGAUCGUUAGGUCCAGGUGUCGCAGCUAACGCGUUAAGUUAUCCACCUGGGGAGUACGGGUCGCAAGAUUAAAACUUAAAGAAAUUGACGGGGGUCCGCACAAGCGGUGGAACAUGUGGUUUAAUUCGACACUACGCGAGAACCUUACCUAGGCUUGACAUGCUUAUGUCAGCUGUAGAAUACAGUCUUUUAUGGGAAACCAUAAACAUUUGCACAGGUGCUGCAUGGCUGUCGU